UUUAGAUAAAGGCUGAAACGUUUUAAAACGCUGCUGAAAUUAGCUGAAGAGAAACAGGAAGUGUUUUAACAGAGCUAAACAUAUGAAGAAGAAGAUAAAACAGCUGAAUGUUAACUUAAAAAAGCUGAAAUAAAUUUGCUGAAGUUUAUAAAACAUAGCUGAAUUUAUCUAAAAUAGUUAAAAAGUUAAAAGAAUAGUUACAGUUUUUGUUAAAAAGAGCUGAAAGUAGAAGAAACUGAAGCAGGUUAGCAAAGAGACGCUAGCAUAAACAGGCUAACUACACACGAGCCUGUACAAGUGUCUGACGCUGAUUUAUAAACAGCCCUGAUCACGUGACCCGACACAGCCGUUGCCACGGAGACUGUAGGGGAGAGGCGGGAAACUUCAACUGCCAAGAUUUUCACUGGUGAAAACUGAUUUGGAGCCCUUACAAACAGGCUUUUUACAGCAAAACUACGAUAGAUAUCGUAAUAAAAAGUUAACUACGUGAGAGCCAAGACUUUAAUGAACCACUAGUGUGAAUUUUAUGUUUGAGGACUGAAAAUUGUGGUCACAGGAGCGAGAGAUCCAAGUGCACCCUUCAGCUUGUCGGACAGAAUCUCAGACCGAAUUUAACAAUUUAACAUUGGGGCUAAUGGGAGAGCUGAGGGGGACUCCCGUCACUCUGAGGCUCACAGAGAAAAAACGAUUUGUCUCAGAGCUUAGAUAAAUAUCUUAUUAGAAUCAGGACAAGUUUAUCUACAUUGUUGUGAAGAAAUUAUUCCGAUAGAGUGAAAAUUGUGGCCGUGCUGACAGUUUAUUGAGAAAGAUUUUGGUUUUAAAAAAUCGGCCUCUCCACUCUAAGCUGUGACGUCAUCCACUCUAGCUGCACCAACGUUCCAUCAUUCACUCCCAUUAUAAAGUCCAAAAUCAGCCAAAAACAUCAAGUCACAAAAACUGAAAUUAUGAAAAAACUAUAAAAGAUAUUAAAAAACUGAAUGGAAGAUUAAAAGAGCAGAAAUAGCUGAACAUUUUGAUACCUGAAUGAUUUCUGUAGCUGAAAGUAUGCUGAAGUAGUUAAAGCUGAAAGAAGAAGAAGUUGAAGAGUUGCUGAAGAGACUCUCCCAUAGGAAUCCAUUAUAAAAAAUAGUUAUUAAAAGUUAAAUAUUUUAAAAAGUAUAAAAGUUAUAAAAAUUCUGAAUGGAAGCACACUUCUCCUUAAAAAGCUGAACAUUUUGAUACCUGAACGGUUUCUGUAGCUCAAAGUAUGAA
rnacentral:lncRNA from 1 species